rnacentral:rRNA from 1 species
UACAGAGGCCCCAAGCGUUGUUCGGAUUCACUGGGCGUAAAGGGUGCGUAGGUGGUGAGGUAAGUCGGAUGUGAAAGCUCGGAGCUCAACUCCGAAAUGGCAUUGGAAACUACCUUGCUCGAGGGUUGGAGGGGGGACUGGAAUGCUUGGUGUAGCAGUGAAAUGCGUAGAUAUCAAGCGGAACACCAGUGGCGAAGGCGAGUCCCUGGACAACUCCUGACACUGAGGCACGAAAGCUAGGGGAGCAAACCGG